CAGUCGCCGCGGUAAUACGUAGGGUGCGAGCGUUAAUCGGAAUUACUGGGCGUAAAGCGUGCGCAGGCGGUUUUGUAAGACAGGCGUGAAAUCCUCGGGCUCAACCUGGGAAUGGCGCUUGUGACUGCAAAGCUAGAGUGCGGCAGAGGGGGAUGGAAUUCCGCGUGUAGCAGUGAAAUGCGUAGAUAUGCGGAGGAACACCGAUGGCGAAGGCAAUCCCCUGGGCCAAUACUGACGCUCAUGCACGAAAGCGUGGGGAGCAAACAGGAUUAGAUACCCCCGUAGUCCCUGUCUCUUAUAC
rnacentral:rRNA from 1 species